GAUUGAACUUAAGAGUUUGAUCCUGGCUCAGAUUGAACGCUGGCGGCAUGCCUAACACAUGCAAGUCGAACGGUAACA
rnacentral:rRNA from 1 species